AAACAGAGAAUGGAGCUAUACAUUCUUCUUUUCUGCAUACCUCUCUUUCUAAUCAUCCUCAAACCAUUUCUACAUGCUUCCUCAGCCCCAAAGAACACCCCACCAGGUCCAAAAGGGCUUCCCAUAAUUGGUUCCCUUCUUGAACUCGGAUCUCGACCAAACCAAUCACUAGCUGCCUUAGCCAAAAUUCAUGGCCCAAUCAUGACUCUGAAACUUGGUUCCAUCACGGCCAUAGUAGCUUCUUCACCUGAAGCAGCCAAAGAAAUCCUCCAGAAACAAGAACAAAUCUUCUCUGACCGAUCUGUCCCUGAUGUGAUCACCGCACAGCCUAACCCUCAAGCCACUCUAGCAUGGGUCCCUGGCGACCAGCGGUGGCGCAACCGCAGACGUAUAUGCAGCACGCAAAUGUUCACCACCCAAAGAUUAGACUCCCUUCAACACCUGAGGCACAAAAAAGUUGAAGAACUUGUGCUGCACUUCAAGAAACAUUCUGCACGGGGUGCACCGGUUGAUAUAGGUCGUGCUGCCUUUGCCACCACGCUUAACUUGAUGUCGAACACAAUUUUUUCCAUUGACAUGGUGGAUCCAGAGUUUGAAACUGCUCAGGAGUUUAAGGACUUAGUUUGGAGGAUCAUGGAGGAUGCAGGAAAGCCGAAUCUGUCGGAUUAUUUUCCACUGAUAAAGAUGUUUGAUCUUCAAGGAGUGAAACGUCAUAUUAGGCCUUCUUAUCUAAGAUUGCAUCAAAUAUUUGAUGAAGUCAUUGCGAAAAGAUUGGAGGCUAGGAAGCUGGGGGAGAGCAGGAAAGAUGAUUUCUUGGAUGUGCUUCUUGAUCAGUGCGAAGAAGAGGGGUCUGGAUUUAAUCGUGAAACUAUCAAGCCAUUGAUUCUGGUAAGUUUUUCUGUUAUUGAUAUAACAUGUAUAACUCAUAGCAUAAUCACAGUUGUUUUAAUGAAAAUAUUGGACUUUGAGAUCUUUAAAAUCAAUCGUGUCCUUGGAACUAACAAACACCAUUUGAUUACUACGACGGUAUAAGGAAAAAUUAUAGAAAUGGACCAAAUCAUUCUUGGUGAUCUCUACAAUAUUAUCUAAAGUCAAACAAGAAUUCUUUUUUUGUACUUGCUAAUAUCUGUAAUAAUUUAGUGCUCAACCCUUGAGACUUAGGUAUAUAAGUGAAGGUUCAGAUUAAGCUGUGAAGGACUCCAAUGAACUUGGAAAUUGCGUCAAGGACUAUUUUUAGAAUCUCUCUUUUUUUUUUUUUUUCCCGACCUUAAAAUUUGUGUAUUCAUUUCAUGAUGAUGCUUCACCUAAUCAGUUUUAUAGCCGCGUCAAAAAUCGUGACUCCUUGGUUCGAGGAUCACUGACGUACGACAAGCAUCCAAAGUGAAACUUGACUUUUCAUAGAAUGAUUUCUUACAUAAGAGUAGAAAUUCUACUGUUUUCACUUAUAGGUCCCAUUUUUAGCUUCCUCGGUUUUUCCUUGCUCUUCCUUCCUUCUUUUAUCAUACUAUCAUUUUUAAUAGGUGAAGAAGGAAGAACCAAAUUGUGUGGAAACUUAUUACAUAGAAGAAAGAGAGGAACAAGAAAACUUUUGACUUGUCUUCUUUAUUUGGAUAUAUUUGUUUCGUUUACUUUCUGUCUUCACAAUGAUAGACACAUUUCACAAACACAAUUGAGCGAUUAAACUAAUGUGUGGGGCAGUUGUGGGGAGUUUACAUCAUUUUUUAAAAAGGGGGUAACGAUGGCCGAUUUGAUCAGUUAAACUUAUCAAACUCGAAAAGUUAAUCGAGCUAGUUAAAUCUAAUCAAGAACUGAUUGAUUUUGGUCAAAAUCAAUAAAAACUAAUGGUUCAACCGAUUUUCACUAUUUUUUUCUUUUAAAUAUUUCAAUUUCAUCCAACAUAGUCAAUACUAAAAUAAAUUUUUUGAAAAAAUUAAGCUUUUGAACCGAGCUCGAACCGUGAACCGAAAUUUCAUUUGGUUUACUCCCCAAUCCGGAAACAUUAGUCUGGCUAUAAGAUAGUACAAAUAGGCUUAAACAAUCACUAUCUCAAUUCUGUUACCUGUGCUGCACCAUGCCAAAACAUGUCUGAUUAUGAUGCAAUUGUAGCAAAUCUUUGACUGUUUAGGUAUCACACAAGAUUCUAUCUCAGGUUUUUGUAGGAGAAGGAGAAGAUUUUAUCACAAUAAACUCUUGAUUGCCCCUUAGAAUAAAAAUCUUGAUUGCACGUUUUGCCCAAAAGACUCGGGAACUAGAUAAUUUUUUAAAAACUCCGCGUGUCAUAAGCUGCAAUAGCUAAUUUAAAAGUCAACCUUAGGUAGCAAAUUAUAUGUCGGUAAAGACGGUGGAAACAUAUAAUUGAAUUAUUAAAUUAUUUAGGUCGAUCGUGUCAGGACUAGAAGUGUUUAUUUGUUUAUUUAUUUAUCGGUCUGUCUAACGGAUGCCCAUAAAUAAAGUUAAGUUGUAUUUCAGGUGUCAAAUUCAGAAAUAUAAGAUUAAUUAGAGAAAAUAUAUAAAUACAAGGGAAUUAAUUAAAAAAAGUAUAUAAAUACAAGAGAAAGUAAUAAUUAUUAGUAUGUGUAUGUAUAUAAUAAAUUGGGUGGAAUGUAGGACGAAUGUUCUAUGGACACUCGUUAGAAAACCCUUUAUUUAUUUAUUUUUAUACAGGAGCUUAAGAGUUAUAACACUGCAAGGCUGUAAGCAAAUAUAGUGACAUGUGAUGAGUCAUAAUAAUACUUCUAAAUUGGGAAAAUCCGAAAGCUAAUAAGUGAAGAUACCGCCCACCUACUCCUAUGAAGCACACACGUAUUGUGACCUCCACCUUCUUAACAUAUAGAUCAUAAUAAAACAUGGGGAAGUCCUAUAUUGCUUUAGAAUAUUGUACUGAUGAGAUUAAAUUCAUCAUUAAAUAUGAAGUAAGAGCUAUCUAUUUUUAGAUUAUUUUAAGAAUUUAAAUCACUAAAUGAUAAAUAACAUGACAAGAUGUAAGUGAAUUAAAAUCGUUAAUUCUGUAUUCAAAAGAGAUGGUAGCAUUUUCCAAAAACAUAUUAGAGUAUUCGGAAAUUGAUUUUGACAAUAGCAACAAAAAUCCCCCAAAAUAUGUGCAACGCCAUUAAGGUAUGGUAAAAUUAACAGGGAUUUCAAAUGACCUCUUGAGUGUUGAACAUCAUUGACACAUGUAAUUUGCCAAAAAUGAAAACUAAGAAUUAAUAGUAGUAGGAGAAAUAUUUUGUCUAAUAAUUAAAGUUGAGAUUCUAAGAAUUAAAGUUGUCUGUUCUUCUCCACUUAUUUUAUCUCCUACUCAUGCCCUACUAAAAGAAAAAGAAAAAAAAAAAAGAGUAGUACUAAAUGCAAACACUCAACCCCCAACCAAAUUUGACGAAUUGUCACACUCUACUGGCCAGUAUAGGCAUUUAUCAUUUUCAUAUCCGUUUAUCAGACAAUUUGAUUAAUGAAUUCAACAAUGAUAGGACUUGUUUAUUGCUGGAAGUGACACAUCUGCAAUAACUACUGAAUGGGCAAUGGCCGAACUGCUGCGAAAACCUGAAGCCAUGGAAAAAGCAAGAGAAGAAAUAAUCCAAAAAAUUGGUUUUGAAAGAUCAGUGAAGGAAUCAGACAU
rnacentral:lncRNA from 1 species